UACAUGGGGUGCAAACGUUGCUCGGAAUUAUUGGGCGUAAAGAGCGCGCAGGCGGUCGUUCAAGUCGAGUGUGAAAGCCCCCGGCUCAACUGGGGAGGGUCACUCGAUACUGAUCGACUUGAAGGCAGGAGAGGGAAGCGGAAUUCCCGGUGUAGUGGUGAAAUGCGUAGAUAUCGGGAGGAACACCAGUGGCGAAGGCGCCACUCUGGGCCGAAACUGACGCUGAGGAGCGAAAGCAUGGGUAGCAAACAGG
rnacentral:rRNA from 1 species